UACGUAGGUGACAAGCGUUGUCCGGAUUUACUGGGCGUAAAGAGCGCGCAGGCGGUCGUUCAAGUCGAGUGUGAAAGCCCCCGGCUCAACUGGGGAGGGUCAUUCGAUACUGAUCGACUCGAAGGCAGGAGAGGGUAGUGGAAUUCCUGGUGUAGCGGUGAAAUGCGUAGAUAUCUGGAGGAACACCGGUGGCGAAGGCGGCAUCCUGGACCGGCAUUGACGCUGAGGCGCGAAAGCCAGGGGAGCAAACGGG
rnacentral:rRNA from 1 species